rnacentral:rRNA from 1 species
GAUCCUGGCUCAGAUUGAACGCUGGCGGCAUGCCUUACACAUGCAAGGUCGAACGGCAGCAUGGAGAGCUUGCUCUCUGAUGGCGAGUGGCGAACGGGUGAGUAAUACAUCGGAACGUGUCCGUUUGUGGGGGACAACCGUCCGAAAGGAUGGCUAAUACCGCAUGAGACCUGAGGGUGAAAGCCGGGGACCGCAAGGCCCGGCGCAGACGGAGCGGCCGAUGAUUGAUUAG